CAAUAGCGUAUAUUAAAGUUGUUGCGGUUAAAAAGCUCGUAGUUGGAUUUCUGCUGAGAACGACCGGUCCGCCCUUUGGGUGUGUAUCUGGCUCUUUCUUGGCAUCUUCUUGGUGAACGUUGCUGCACUUGACUGUGUGGAGCGCUACCCAGGACUUUUACUUUGAGGAAAUUAGAGUGUUUCAAGCAGGCAUACGCCUUGAAUACAUUAGCAUGGAAUAAUAAGAUAGGACCUCGGUUCUAUUUUGUUGGUUUCUAGAGCUGAGGUAAUGAUUAAUAGGGAUAGUUGGGGGCAUUCGUAUUUAACUGUCAGAGGUGAAAUUCUUGGAUUUGUUAAAGACGGACUACUGCGUUGGCAUUUGCCAAGGAUGUUUNCAUUGA
rnacentral:rRNA from 1 species